UUGGUUAAGUUAGAAAAGGGCGCACGUGGAUGCCCUUGGCACUUAGGACCGGAAGAAGGACGGGACUAACCCGAUAUUGCGUUUGGGGAGCUGUACGUAAAGGUUGAUCCAGAGAUUUCCGAAUGGGGGGAACCCACUAUCUUUAGUCGGGAUAGUAUCCUUUACGUGGAAUACUAGCGUGAGGAAGGCAGACCCCAGGGAACUGAAACAUCUAAGUAAACCUGGGAGAAGAGAAAGAAAAAUCGAUUUCCUGGAGUAGCGGCGAGCGGAAACGGAAAGAGCCCCAAACCAAGAAGGCUUGCUUCUUUUGGGGUUGUAGGAACACUCCUAAUACGGAGAUUACAAAAGAAAAGUUAUAAAUGAAGCGGGUCUGGAAAGGCGCAAGACGGUAACAGCCCCGGGUAGUUUGAAAACUGGCUUUUUCCCUCCAGACGUGGAUCCUUGAGUACGGCGGAACACGUGAAAUUCCGUCCGGAAUCCGAGGACCAUCCCUCCAGGCUAAAUAUCCCUAAGUGAGACCGAUAGUGAACCAGUAACCGGGUGAGGAAAGGUGAAAAAGCACCCCGGAAGGGGAUGAAACAGUUCCUGGAAAACCGUGUGCCUACAAGUAGUUAGAGGCCGUUUAAUGGGUGGAUAGCGCUGGCCUUUUGUAGAAUGAGACCGGCGAGUUACGAUUUGUUUGCAAGGGUUAAGCGGAAAAAGCGGAGCGUAGCGAAAGCGAGUCCUGAAUAAGGGGCGCAUAAGUAACAGGUCGUAGAACCCGAAACCAGGUUGAUCUACCCAUGUCCAGGAUGAAGGUAAGGUAAUACUUAGCUGGAGGGUCCGAACCCACGCACGUUGAAAAGUGCGGGGAUGAGGUGGUGGGUAGCGGGAGAAAUUCCAACGGAACUUGGAGAUAGCUGGUUUCCUCUCCGAAAUAGUUUGUAGGGCGCUAGCCUCGGGUAAAGAGUCCAUGGGAGGUAGAGCACUGUUUGGGACUAGGGGCCCUUUCUCGGGUUACCGGAAUUCAGAUAAACUCCGAUGCCAUGUACUUAUACUGCGGGAUCCAGACCUGCGAGUGAUAAGAUCCGUAAGUCCGAAAGGGAACAGCCCCGAGACCACCAGUUAGGUCCCAAAUAUAUGUUAAGUUGGAAAAGGAUGUGGGGUUGCCUUAAGACACCCAGAAUGGUUGGCUUAGAAGCCAGCCACCAUUGAAGAGAGUGCGUAAUAGCUCACUGUCGAGGUGACCCCGCGCCGAAAAAUGUACCGGGGCUAAACAUAUUUACCGAAACUGUGGAUGGAACCUCUUUAGAAGGUUCGUGGGGUAGGAGAGCGUUCUAAGGGCGGUGAAGUCAGACCGGAAGGACUGGUGGAAGCGCUUAGAAGGUGAGAAUGCCCGGUUAUGAGUAGCGAAAGAAAGGUGAGAAUCCCUUCCACCGAAUAUCUAAGGGUUUCCUGAGGAAGGCUCCGUCCCGCUCAGGGUAGUCGGCGACCUUAAGCCGAGGCGAUAGGCGGGGUAGGCGGAUGGACAACAGGUAGGGAGGAUUCCCUGUACCAGGUGCUAAUUGUUUUAACCGAUGGUGACACAGAAGGAUAUGGGAAUCAGCACGGAAUGGAAAUGGUGCCGUCCAGAAGCAGUGGAGUGUGAGAAGUAGGCAAAACCGCUUCUCGCGAAAGGCCAUGAGCUGUGAUGGGAGGAAAUUAAAGAAGUAGCGGAAGUUCCUGAUUUCAGCGCUUGUCAAGAAAAGGCCUCUAGGAAGAGUAGUACUGCGCCGUAAACCGGCAAACCGACACAGGUAGAUGAGGAGAGAAUCGCUAAGGUGAGCGAGAGAAGCUCUCGUUAAGGAACUCGGCAAAAUGACCCCGUAACUUCGGAGAAGGGGUGGCUGCUAUUAGGGUGGCAAGCGCGAGAGAGCCGCCAGUGAAUAGGGCCCAGGCGACUGUUUAGCAAAAACACAGGUCCUCUGCAAAACCGUAAGGUGCACGUAUAGGGGGCUGAGCGCCUGCCCGGCUGGGCUGGAAGGUUGAAGAGGAGUGCUUAGCUUUCGGCGAAGGUAGCGAAUUGAAGCCCCAGGUAAACGGCGCCGUAAGCUAUAACGUCUAAGGUGAGCGAAAUUCCUUGUGCGGUAGUUCUCGACGCGCACGAAAGCGCGGCAACGAUCGGGCAGCUGUCUGCACGAGAGACUCGGUUGAAAUUAUAGUAACCUGUGAAGAUGCAGGUAGCCCGACAGACGGAAAAGACCACCCCGUGGGAGCUUUACUGGGCAACCUGAAUAUGGAAUGUCUUGUAGCGCGGGCUUGCGUACAGGAUACGGUAGGAGGGGCCGAAGAGACGUGCGCUACAUAGCGAGGAGGGGCAAUGGUCGGGAUAGCUACCUGGCUGUAAAUGUCUAACCGCGGCCACGCUUAGCGCGUGGGAGACAGUAGUCAGCGUGGGGGCCAGUUUGACGGGGCGGUCGCCUCCUAAAGAGUAACGGAGGCGCCCAACAGGUAUGCCUCAGAAUGGAUGGAAAUCAUUCGCAGAGUGUAAAGGGGCACAAGGGAGCUUGACUGGGCGCAGACUGACAAGUCGAGCAGAGGACGAAAGUCGGGCUUAGUGAUCCGGUGGUUCGGCGCAUGGAAGGGCCGAUCGGCUCAAACGGAUAAAAGCUACCGCCGGAUAACAGGGCUUAUCUCCCCCCAAGAGUCCACAUCGACGGGGAGGUUUGGGGCACGGUCGAUGUCGGCUCGGUCCGGGCAUCCUGGGCUGCGUAGUCGGUCGCGCAAGGGUUGGCUGUUCGCCGCAUUAAAGCGGCCACGCGAGCUGGGUUUCAGACGCUGCGUGAGAGCAGUUCGGUCCCUACGGCGUCCGGCGGGCGCAGGAAAUUUUGAGAGGAGCUGUCCUUAGUACCGAGAGGACCGGGAUGGACAACACCGCUGGUGUCCAGUUGUUCCGGCAGGAGGCAUCGGCUGGGUAGGGCUAUGUUGGCAGGGAUAAACGCUGAAAGCAUCUAAGCGUGAAGCCGCCCGCUCAAGAUGAGAUUUCCCAUUUCUUCCGGAAAGUAAGAUCCCUGAAAGAUGAUCAGGUAGAUAGGUUUGGAGUGGAAGUGUAGCGAUACAUGGAGCGGACAAAUACUAAUCGAUCGAGGACUUAACCAAAA
rnacentral:rRNA from 1 species